rnacentral:rRNA from 1 species
GUUUAGCAAAAACAUGUUUAUUUGAAGCUAUAAAUAAUUUGACCUGCCCCCUGAUAAAUAUAUUAAAGGGCCGCAGUAUUAUAACUGUGCAAAGGUAGCAUAAUCAUUAGGUUUUUAAUUAAGAUCUUGUAUGAAUGGUUGGACAAGAGAAAAACUCUCUUUAUAUUAAUUUUGAAUUUAACUUUUAAGUGAAAAGGCUUAAAUAUUCUAGAGGGACGAUAAGACCCUAUAAAACUUUUACAUUAUAGUUAUAUUUUGAUAAAUUUAUAUAAUAAAAAUUUAGUUUAAUUAUUUGUUAUGUUGGGGAGACAUAAGUAAAAUAUUAUUUUAACUGCUUGGUAAUAAAACAAUUAUUAGUGAAUAAAUAAAAGAUCCUUUUUAGAGAUUAAUAGAUUAAGUUACUUUAGGGAUAACAGCGUAAUUUCUUUUGAGAGUUCUUAUCGAAAAAGAAGAUUGCGACCUCGAUGUUGAAUUAAAAAAUCUUUAUAAUGAAGAAAUUAUAUUAGAAGGUCUGUUCGACCUUUAAAUUUUUACAUGAUUUGAGUUCAAACCGGUGUAAG